rnacentral:rRNA from 1 species
GAUGAACGCUGGCGGCGUGCCUAAUUCAUGCAAGUCGAGCGAACAGACGAGGAGCUUGCUCCUCUGACGUUAGCGGCGGACGGGUGAGUAACACGUGGAUAACCUACCUAUAAGACUGGGAUAACUUCGGGAAACCGGAGCUAAUACCGGAUAAUAUAUUGAACCGCAUGGUUCAAUAGUGAAAGACGGUUUUGCUGUCACUUAUAGAUGGAUCCGCGCCGCAUUAGCUAGUUGGUAAGGUAACAGCUUACCAAGGCAACGAUGCGUAGCCGACCUGAGAGGGUGAUCGGCCACACUGAAACUGAGACACGGUCCAGAAUCCUACGGGAGGAAGCAGUAGGGAAUCUUCAGCAAUGGGCGAAAGCCUGACGGAGCAACGCCGCGUGAGUGAUGAAGGUCUUCGGAUCGUAAAACUCUGUUAUUAGGGAAGAACAAAUGUGUAAGUAACUAUGCACGUCUUGACGGUACCUAAUCAGAAAGCCACGGCUAACUACGUG